AUGUCCGAGCAAGACAAGCAUGUGAUGGCAAUAAUAACAGACAUACUACACGGUAACCCGUACUCUCAGCAGUUUAGGAGUUUGGGACAAGCCCAAAACCUUGAGGACUACAGACUGAUCUUGAACCUUGACCAGAGAUUGGACCAAAGAACAUACAACGAGCCAAUCAAUUCGGAGGUAGCUGCAGUGUGGAUUGAAGGAAAUGAAAGAAGAGAUACUUAUGACAGAAAUGUAAUAUUACAUGGGAACAACAACGAAAAAGAGAUCAUUCGAUCAUAUUACGGGUGCUAUGAUCCGUUAUCGUAUCCUCUAUUCUUUCCAAGAGCUGAACUGGGUUGGCAUAGGAAAAUCCCGAAGAGGGAAACACGACAGGAAGAUAUUCGUGCUGAAAAUAUCAGUAAUGAUGAUGACCCAGGCCUAUUCCAGCAGUUUGCUGUAGAUACAUACAUCAAGAUUGAAAGCUCCAGACUGGAUUACAUCUGGCACAAUCAAAAGAAAAUAAGGGCUGACCUAUACCAAGGCCUUCUAGACAGCAUUCAAGCUGGAGAACAGAAUGGAGAUGCAGUUGGAAAAUGGAGAGUACUUGCCUCGUCAUUUAUUGGAGGGCCACGAGAUAGACUUCGUCGGUAUCUCGACGCUAUGGCUUUAGUUAGAAAAUAUGGAAAGCCAGACAUAUUCCUAACAAUGACCUGCAACCCCAACUGGGAGGAGAUCACACGUGAACUAGAGACUGGACAAACACCACAAGAUCGCCCAGACAUUGUCGUUCGUGUUUUUAGGGCGAAGCUACAAGAAAUGAAGCAACAACUAUUCGAGAAGGGCAUUCUUGGAAAGGUUCAGGCAUAUACAUAUGUCGUAGAGUUCCAAAAGAGGGGAUUACCCCAUGCUCACUUUUUGCUCAUCAUGACUGGAAGAUACAAGUACACAUGUCCAGAGCAGUAUGACAGAAUCAUCUCCGCCGAGCUCCCUAACAAGCACAAGUACCCAGAACUAUACAAAAUGGUAAUCAAACAUAUGAUGCAUGGUCCUUGCGGUGCAUUGAACAAAUUGUGUCCAUGCACAAAGAAUCGUCCGUCAUGCAAGAACAAUUAUCCAAGGCCAUUUAACGAAACUACGAUUCAAGGCAAGGACACCUACCCAAUAUAUAGGAGGCGCGACGACGGACGGACUGAAAUGGUCCGAAAUUGCACAUUAGAUAACAGGUGGGUGGUUCCUUACAAUCCCUAUCUGUUAAGAAUGUUCAACUGCCACAUAAAUGUUGAGAUAUGCUCAAGCAUUAAAGCCGUUAAGUAUCUCUUCAAGUACAUCUACAAGGGCCACGACCGAGCAUCUGUAUCUGUAACUGACAAAGUAGAGGAAGUCGAAAUCGACGCGAUUAAGCAGUACAGAGACCUGCAGCUGCAUCUCCCAAAUAUGCACAUGGUUUCAUAUCAUGCCAUGGAGAAAAUACAGAAUGUUAUCGACCGUGAAGGCACGGAAAGAUCAAUGUUAAUUGCGUACUUUGAAGCAAACAGCUCACAUGAGAAAGCACGAGGCAUACUAUACAGAGAUUUUCCGGAACAUUAUAAGUGGCAGAGUCAGGGGAAGUUUUGGCAACCAAGGAAGCGAGCCGCUGUGUUCCAGGUUGGCAGGAUCGUCGCAGCACACCCGGCCGAAGGAGAACGAUACUAUCUUCGGGUCCUCCUAAACCACGUGACAGGCGCCACCGGCUACGAAGACCUACGAACAGUCGAUGGACAAGUAAUGCCAACCUUUCGUGAAGCUGCAGAAAAAAGAGGGCUCAUUGAGGCAGAUAGCACAUUGGACGACUGCAUGACAGAAGCGGAGUUGUUUAGAAUGCCAUCAUCGCUGCGAAGGCUAUUUGCGACAAUCUUGGUUUUUUGCGAACCCAGCGACGUACGUAGCCUCUGGAACAAGCACCUUGAGGCAAUGUCAGAGGACUACAGCAGAAAUUGCAAAUGCAAGCACACAGUCGAACAGAUGGUUCUGAAAAAUAUCAAAGACAUGUUGCACUCAAUGGGAAAAGACAUAGAAUCGUUUUCUCUUCCAGAGAUCGACGAACAGCAUGAGAUGACAGACGACAUACCGAGGGAGAUCAUCGAGGAGACCUCCAUCGAGGUGGAACCCGAGGAUGCAUCUUUGCAUAAGAACCUAAACAAGGAGCAGAAGGAGGCCUACGAUGAAAUCCUAGCCACAAUUGACCGCCAAAGAGGAGGUAUAUUCUUUGUCGAUGGACCUGGAGGCACGGGAAAGACUUUUCUUUACAGGGCGCUCUUGGCAACAAUACGCGGACAAGGCAAGAUUGCUGUGGCGACAGCCACUUCCGGUGUUGCUGCUUCCAUAAUGCCUGGAGGGAGGACCGCACACUCGAGGUUCAAGAUUCCACUAAAAAUAGAUGACGGGGCUAUUUGUGGAUUCACCAAACAGAGUGGGACAGCCAAGCUACUCAAAGCAGCAUCACUGAUAAUCUGGGAUGAAGCAUCCAUGACCAAGAGGCAGACAGUGGAGGCGUUAGACAAAAGCAUGCGGGACAUAAUGGACAGACCAGACCAUCCAUUUGGUGGAAAAACAAUAGUAUUUGGAGGCGAUUUUAGGCAAGUGCUACCUGUUGUUCGAAAGGGAACAAGAGCCCAGAUAGUAGAUGCAUCACUACGCAGGUCCGAGCUCUGGAGUUCAAUGAGUCAACUGAAGCUCGUGCGCAACAUGAGGGCUCAAAACGACAACUGGUUCACGGAAUACCUCUUACGCAUUGGAAACGGAACAGAGGAGACAAAUGAAGAUGGUGAAAUACUACUACCAACAAGUAUAUGUGUGGCAAAUAAGACAGAUGACAAUGGCCUGGAUAUGCUCAUCGACAGUGUCUACCAAACGGACAAUGCUUCCCUAAAAGAUCCAAAGUACAUCACGUCAAGAGCAAUUCUAUCAACAAGGAACGACUCCGUAGACAAGAUCAACCUAAAAAUGAUUGAUCGCUUCCAAGGGGAGGAGAUGGUGUACCACAGCUUCGAUUCGGUAGAAGACGACCCACAUAACUACUAUCCACCAGAAUUCCUAAACACUCUCACCCCAAAUGAACUGCCUCCACAUAUGUUGAAGCUCAAAAUUAAUUGCCCAAUCAUACUACUCAGGAACAUCGACCCUGCUAAUGGACUAUGCAACGGCACGAGGUUGGUCGUGCGCGGAUUUCAAAAAAAUACAAUUGACGCAGAGAUUGUGGUGGGACAACACUCUGGAACGCGAGUUUUCCUGCCUAGGAUACCAUUAUGCCCCUCUGACGAUGACAUGUUUCCGUUCAAUUUUAAGAGGAAACAGUUUCCAGUCAGACUCAGCUUUGCAAUGACAAUAAACAAAUCACAAGGCCAGACAAUACCAAAUGUCGGCAUCUACCUGAGCCCGUUUUCUCACAUGGUCAACUAUAUGUCGCACUAUCCAGAGCAACCGCGACAUCAAAUAUAA
rnacentral:rRNA from 1 species